rnacentral:tRNA from 1 species
GAGGGGAGGUUGAACCAACAAGAACUGCUAAUUCUUGCAUCUGGGACUUUAAACCCCAGCCCCCUUA